GGGCCUUUAGCUCAGUUGGUUAGAGCGCACCCCUGAUAAGGGUGAGGUCGAUGGUUCAAGUCCAUUAAGGCCCACCA
rnacentral:tRNA from 2 species